GGGUGGUAAUGCCGGAUGUUCCAGUUGAUCGCAUGGUCUUCUGGGAAAGCUUUCGCGGUAUGGGAUGGGGUCGCGUCCUAUCAGCUUGACGGCGGGGUAACGGCCCACCGUGGCUUCGACGGGUAGCCGGCCUGAGAGGGCGACCGGCCACAUUGGGACUGAGAUACGGCCCAGACUCCUACGGGAGGCAGCAGUGGGGAAUAUUGCACAAUGGGCGCAAGCCUGAUGCAGCGACGCCGCGUGAGGGAUGGAGGCCUUCGGGUUGUAAACCUCUUUUAUCGGGGAGCAAGCGAGAGUGAGUUUACCCGUUGAAUAAGCACCGGCUAACUACGUGCCAGCAGCCGCGGUAAUACGUAGGGUGCAAGCGUUAUCCGGAAUUAUUGGGCGUAAAGGGCUCGUAGGCGGUUCGUCGCGUCCGGUGUGAAAGUCCAUCGCUUAACGGUGGAUCCGCGCCGGGUACGGGCGGGCUUGAGUGCGGUAGGGGAGACUGGAAUUCCCGGUGUAACGGUGGAAUGUGUAGAUAUCGGAAAAGAACACCA
rnacentral:rRNA from 1 species